GUCCUUUAGGAAAGAAUUUAAGGUUUAACCUGCCCAUUGAUUAUAAUUUAACGGCCGCAGUAAAUUGACUGUGCAAAGGUAGCAUAAUCAUUAGUUUUUUAAUUGAAAGCUUGUAUGAAUGGUUGGACGAAAUAAAGACUGUCUCUAUUUAAUAAAUAGAAUUUAAUUUUUAAGUUAAAAAGCUUAAAUAUUUAUAAAAGACGAGAAGACCCUAUAGAUCUUUAUAAAAAUUUUUUUAAUUUUAUUGAUGAUUAAUUAAUUAGUUAAUUAUUUUUUUAUUUUAUUGGGGUAAUAUAUAGAUUUAGAAAAUUCUUUAAAUUUUUACAUUAAUUAGUGAAUAUUUGAUCCAUUUUUAUUGAUUAUAAGAUUAAGUUACCUUAGGGAUAACAGCGUAAUUUUUUUGGAGAGUUCUUAUCGAUAAAAAAGUUUGCGACCUCGAUGUUGGAUUAAAAAUUAUCUCAGGCGUAGAAUUUUGAGAUUUUGGUCUGUUCGACCAUUAAAUUUUU
rnacentral:rRNA from 1 species